AGGACGAACGCUGGCGGCGUGCCUAAAACAUGCAAGUCGAACGGUUUCUAGCAAUAGAGACAGUGGCGAACGGCGGAGUAAUACGUGAACAACGUGCCCCAAAGACCGGGAUAGUUAUUGGAAACGAUGGGUAAUACCGGAUGUGGUGAUUUUCUCUCAUGAGGAGAUCAUUAAAUGGUUUUUCGCUUUGGGAGCGGUUCACGGCCUAUCAGGUAGAUGGUGGGUAAUGGCCUACCAUGCCGACGACGGGUAGCGGGUCUGGAGAGGAUGAUCCGCUCGAGUGGGACUGAGACACGGCCCACACACCUACGGGUGGCAGCAGUUGGGAAUCUUGCACAAUGGGGAAACCCUGAUGCAGCGACGCCGCGUGGAGGAUGAAGGUCUAGGCCUGUAAACUCCGUUUUUACGGGAAAGUACGUUAGGACGGUACCGAAGAAGUAAGCACCGGACUAACUACGU
rnacentral:rRNA from 1 species